AAGUCGUAACAAGGUUUCCGUAGGUGAACCUGCGGAAGGAUCAUUAAUACGCUUUUGUUUGUAACAAAACAAAACGUUUUAAACUCCAAAAGAAAUAGUGGAAAUAUAACUUCCGGAUGCGAAUGUUGGGAACUGAGUAAAAUCGGUUCUUUGAAAAAGGGACUUCAAGCAAUUGACACUUCAGAGUAGAGCAGUGAGGUGAAAUUCUCUUUUCCAAGAGAGUUUGGUUCUGAAAACAUUUGUAUCCGGUUAUCAUAAUCUGUUCUACAAACUCCAAAAUAUCAAACAAUAAACCCCAUGUACAACAACUUGAACUAAACAUUUUUUUGUUAUCUACUUGCACACUUGUUGUGUGAGAAGCUACAAAGAAAAAACCUGAACUUAAGAACAACUCUUAACAACGGAUAUCUUGGUUCUC
rnacentral:misc_RNA from 1 species